UACGUAGGGCGCAAGCGUUGUCCGGAAUUAUUGGGCGUAAAGAGCUCGUAGGCGGUUUGUCGCGUCUGGUGUGAAAACUCAAGGCUCAACCUUGAGCUUGCAUCGGGUACGGGCAGACUAGAGUGCGGUAGGGGUGACUGGAAUUCCUGGUGUAGCGGUGGAAUGCGCAGAUAUCAGGAGGAACACCGGUGGCGAAGGCGGAUCUCUGGGCCAUUACUGACGCUGAGGAGCGAAAGCGUGGGGAGCGAACAGG
rnacentral:rRNA from 1 species